rnacentral:rRNA from 1 species
GACGAACGCUGGCGGCGUGCCUAAUACAUUCAAGUCGAACGCAGUGGGGACGGGUGAGUAACUCGUGGGUAACCUUCCCAUCAGAGGGGAAAACACUUGGAAAUAGGUGCUAAACCGAUACUGAUGGCUGGACCCGGGGUGCAUUACCUAGUUGGUGAGGUAACGGUACACCAAGGCCACGAUGCUUAGCCGACCGGAGAGUGUGAUCGGCCACACUGGAACUGAGACACGGCCCAGACUCCUACGGGAGGCAGCAGUAGGGAAUCUUCGGCAAUGGACGAAAGUCUGACCGAGCAACGCCGCGUGAGUGAAGAAGGUUUUCGGAGCGUAAAACUCUGUUGUUAGAGAAGCGGUAUCUAACCAGAAAGCCACGGCUAACUACGUGCCAGCAGCCGCGGUAAUAC